UGGGAGGCUCUGCAACAGCAUAUUCUACAAAGAAAAAGAUAAAUGAACAGAAUUCACUCUAAGAUUCGCCAUGGAUGUUUACUAGUCAACUUGAUGUCCCAAACCAUCUGCCUAUCUAACACAGCUGAUCUUAAGUUCUGCUUCACAGCUAUUGGAUGCCCCUUAACCAAGGACUUAGGGCUCAAAUAUUUGAAGAACACCAGGAGAUUCAGCUUGACUAGGAAGGCAAAGGCCACACUACAGGGCUAAGAGGUUAAGAAGGAGCUGCUAUACUACACGUUGAUCUCUCUUCCCACACCUUAUUGUCAGUUCAUGGUCUGAAGUUUGCUUUUAGUUUCCAUCAUUACAUGUCUCCUGAUUACUCUCUUUAAAGGUACAGAUAUUGGAUUCAUCUAAUAGUUCUCCAUAAUUUUGAGCCCUAGAGGCUUUAGAACACUUAUUGGAACUUCAUAAAUUGAAUCUAUCCAGGUGUGUUCCAUGGAAAGCCCAAGGCUCUCAGGAACUGAAGCCCAAAGUGCUUAGUCAUCCAAGAUAUAUAUUACCUUACAGAGGAAGAAACUGGAACAUUUGUUCACACUGCAGAAGAGCCCCUUUCUCUGCUGCCGUUGCUGCCAUCAACAGUAAACACUGGAAGUUUAGGAGCUGAAACCCCAUUGAUUGGCAGACUGCUCUGUCAAGACUAUGGAAUCAAUAGUAGUUUCUCAACAUGUGCUUUGGAGAAGAAGGGAAGACAACUUAUCUGAGGUUCUCUAUAUUCCAGGAGGCCUGAACCUCUGGGAUUAGAUCCCCAGGUGAGCAGCUGACUCAGUUCUCACACCUGCUGCCCUGCCCUCGUUCUGGAGUGACUGUCAGAAGGGGAUUGAGCCUCAGCCACCUGGCCUAGGGCCAGUCCUCCUCUCCAACAACCCAGAUCCUGGAGUUGUGUGCCUAGUUUUGGACUCUCCUUUCCAUCAAAUGACUUUCCCUCUAGAAAGUCCUUUCAUCUCUCCUGCAGGCAGCAUCUGUUGGAUUCACCCUAGUCCAGGAUUAA
rnacentral:lncRNA from 1 species